GUGCUCGCUUCAGCAGCACAGAUACAAAAAUUGGAACAAAACAGAGAAGAUCAGCAUGGCCCUCUGCAAGGAGGACAUGCAAAUUCAUGAAGCAUUCCAUAUUAAA